ACCACCUCUGAACACACCUGAUCCUUUCUGUUUUUGGAAGCUAAAGAGAGGCAGAUCUAGUUUGUACUUAGAUGGGAGACCACCAAGGAUCUCCAGGC
rnacentral:rRNA from 1 species